UACGUAGGCAGCGAGCGUUGUUCGGGGUUACUGGGCGUAAAGGGUGCGUAGGCGGUUGUUUAAGUUUGGUGUGAAAUCUCCCGGCUCAACUGGGAGGGUGCGCCGAAUACUGAAUGACUCGAGUGCGGGAGAGGAGAGUGGAAUUCCUGGUGUAGCGGUGAAAUGCGUAGAUAUCAGGAGGAACACCGGUGGUGUAGACGGCUCUCUGGACCGUAACUGACGCUGAGGCACGAAAGCGUGGGUAGCAAACAGG
rnacentral:rRNA from 1 species